UACGGAGGGUGCAAGCGUUAUCCGGAUUCAUUGGGUUUAAAGGGUGCGUAGGCGGCUAUAUAAGUCAGUGGUGAAAAUAUCGGGCUCAACCCGAUACGUGCCAUUGAUACUGUGUAGCUUGAAUCAAAUCGACGCGGGAGGAAUGCGACAAGUAGCGGUGAAAUGCUUAGAUAUGUCGCAGAACACCGAUAGCGAAGGCAUCUCGCGAGGUUUCGAUUGACGCUGAGGCACGAAAGCGUGGGUAUCAAACAGGAUUAGAUACCCUGGUAGUCCACGCAGUAAACGAUGAUAACUGGGUUUUUGUAGUGUAACUAUGAGAGCCUUUAGCGAAAGCAUUAAGUUAUCCACCUGGGGAGUACGUUCGCAAGUAUGAA
rnacentral:rRNA from 1 species